rnacentral:rRNA from 1 species
AGAGUUUGAUCAUGGCUCAGGACGAACGCUGGCGGCGUGCUUAACACAUGCAAGUCGAGCGGUAAGGCUCCUUCGGGAGUACACGAGCGGCGAACGGGUGAGUAACACGUGAGCAAUCUGCCCUUCACUUCGGGAUAACUCCGGGAAACCGGUGCUAAUACCGAAUACGACCACUUCAGGCAUCUGAUGGUGGUGGAAAGUUCCGGCGGUGGAGGAUGAGCUCGCGGCCUAUCAGCUUGUUGGUGGGGUAAUGGCCUACCAAGGCAACGACGGGUAGCCGGCCUGAGAGGGUGACCGGCCACACUGGGACUGAGACACGGCCCAGACUCCUACGGGAGGCAGCAGUGGGGAAUAUUGGACAAUGGGCGAAAGCCUGAUCCAGCAACGCCGCGUGAGGGAUGACGGCCUUCGGGUUGUAAACCUCUUUCAGCAGGGACGAAGCGCAAGUGACGGUACCUGCAGAAGAAGCACCGGCCAACUACGUGCCAGCAGCCGCGGUA